GACGAACGCUGGCGGCGUGCUUAACACAUGCAAGUCGAACGGAAAGGCCCUGCUUUUGUGGGGUGCUCGAGUGGCGAACGGGUGAGUAACACGUGAGUAACCUGCCCUUGACUUUGGGAUAACUUCAGGAAACUGGGGCUAAUACCGGAUAGGAGCUCCUGCUGCAUGGUGGGGGUUGGAGAGUUUCGGCGGUUGGGGAUGGACUCGCGGCUUAUCAGCUUGUUGGUGGGGUAGUGGCUUACCAAGGCUUUGACGGGUAGCCGGCCUGAGAGGGUGACCGGCCACAUUGGGACUGAGAUACGGCCCAGACGCCUACGGGAGGCAGCAGUGGGGAAUAUUGCACAAUGGGCGGAAGCCUGAUGCAGCAACGCCGCGUGCGGGAUGACGGCCUUCGGGUUGUAAACCGCUUUCGCCUGUGACGAAGCGUGAGUGACGGUAAUGGGUAAAGAAGCACCGGCUAACUACGUG
rnacentral:rRNA from 1 species